GCGGCGCGCGGCAGCAGCAUGGCGGCGCGCUGGGAGCCGGUGGCGGGUGAGGGCCGGGCUCAGCGGUGAGGCCGCGCUGAGGACGUGGUUGCCCGUCCCUCCCUUGGGGAUGCCGUCGACUGCAGCCGCCUCGCCUGUGCCUGGCCUGGCUCGCCUCGUGGCGUGGGGGCGAAAAGGGACAGGCGGCGGAGCGCUUACCGGCCGUGGACAGGAGCUGCCCUAAGGGAAGCUGGAAUGGCCAGAGAAAGGUGAAGAAGAAGAAGAAGAGAUGGAAGGCUCUCCGGCCGGCAGCUGCCUCCCGCUGCAGGCAAGAGAGCGCCUGCCUCGCCGGGCGGAGGACAGCCGAGCGACCGGAGUGACAGCAAAGGAAAGGCGGAGAGCAGGAGAAAGAAGCGUCUGCGCUGGCAAGCUCUCCCGGCAGCGCCGAGAGCCAGAGCUGCGGUGCUGCCGCGCCGAUGCUCCGUACGUUCGCAGUAACGGGUAGAGCGGAAGGCUCCGUGGCCGGGGAAGAGCGGCACGGACGCGUUCCUGCUCGCUCCGUUGCACCGGAAUUUCGACGGCUGGGUUCGGCCGCUAAAUUGAUGGCGCUACCGGAAGAAAUUUCAGAAAAGUGAGUGCUGUGCUUGUCUUUAACCUUUUAAAGUAAUUUUUCGACGGGCGCCCGGUCCGUGGCUUAGAUAUUUGGUUUGCGGCGAAACAGACCCGGAACGUGGCUCCAAGUAGCGUUCCGAUUCGCUGAAAUUCCCCGUAGUCAGAGCGCAAGAAUCGUGAAUGUUGCUUGGCGGUUUGAAAUCUCAGGCUUUCUCUGAAAGCUGACCUGCCAGAAUGAGCCGAAAGCAGGCCGAACGCCAAUAGGGAUGCCGCAGAAAAGGUCCUCUUCUUGACAGGAGAAGAGCUUGGCGAGACGUCAGCGCCGUUUCCCGUAGGGCCUCCGACCUACCGGUUCAGCAAGCGUGGGCUUUGUGCGAUUCCCUCGGGGACGAUGGCGAACAAACGUUGUACGGCAGAGAGUAUCUUAGCUUACUUUCCAUCUCCUGCUCGGUUACUUGCAGAAUAUUUAAUUUGGCGUCGCACGGACCCAGAGGGACGGGUCCCCAACUCAUGCUGGUAGGGCAACCCCGUACCAGCCGGUAAAAUCGGAAAAGAGUACGACGUUUUGAAACGUUUGCCUUGCGAGGAGAAGGGCCGUCUCUCGUUAGGCAACUGAAUUCUGCGACCGAUUUCCACGCCUCACGCGCGUGCGUGCGCGC